AGAAGUUGGAGAGAAAAAGAGAAAGUGACAGUGAGUGGUUGGUUAGGCGGCGGAGGUCUGCGGUCGUGGAGUCCAUGGGAGUCAUGGAGGCAGUCCAAUUCACGCUGAGUCCGGUCUCACUUACACACAGUCAGAGAUGGGGGUUGAUGGAGAGUCAGGAUGGCGCGUGGUGAUGACAUCACAGACUGUAGGCCGACUGCCUGCCCUGUCCCGGCCUGCAAGGGAUGAGCCAACGGAUACAACAAGACAACAACAAAGAGAACCUGAAGCUACAACAGACGGAUGAAACUACGGAGGCUACGGUGAAACAACAAAAACAGCUGUGAUCAGUCAGGUCGUGUUUAUAGUAUUGAUUUCGUCAACAGUGAAGAACAAGUCCACAUUUUAAACAUCUUACACGAGUAAGAAAAAAGAUUUGCUUGUUUCUUUUUCCCUGUGGCUGCGUCUCCACCGACUCUACAGCUGAAACACCUAAAGCCUAAACGUUAACAUCAACAGAAGAAACUUACCAGCGGGUAUCACACCUGACGCCAGUAACUCCAAACAAGUUUGAACGAGUCAGACAUAAACUCAUGGUGGGGUCCUGGAGAUCACGGGGGAACGAGGAAGAAGA